CCGUAAACGAUGAGUGCUAAGUGUUAGAGGGUUUCCGCCCUUUAGUGCUGAAGUUAACGCAGUAAGCACUCCGCCUGGGGAGUACGGCCGCAAGGCUGAAACUCAAAGGAAUUGACGGGGGCCCGCACAAGCGGUGGAGCAUGUGGUUUAAUUCGAAGCAACGCGAAGAACCUUACCAGGUCUUGACAUCCUCUGAAAACCCUAGAGAUAGGGCUUCUCCUUCGGGAGCAGAGUGACAGGUGGUGCAUGGUUGUCGUCAGCUCGUGUCGUGAGAUGUUGGGUUAAGUCCCGCAACGAGCGCAACCCUUGAUCUUAGUUGCCAUCAUUAAGUUGGGCACUCUAAGGUGACUGCCGGUGACAAACCGGAGGAAGGUGGGGAUGACGUCAAAUCAUCAUGCCCCUUAUGACC
rnacentral:rRNA from 1 species